CGGGAAUACUGGGCGUAAGCGCACGCAGGCGGUCUGUUAAGUCAGAUGUGAAAUCCCCGGGCUUAACCUGGGAACUGCAUUUGAAACUGGCAGGCUUGAGUCUUGUAGAGGGGGGUAGAAUUCCAGGUGUAGCGGUGAAAUGCGUAGAGAUCUGGAGGAAUACCGGUGGCGAAGGCGGCCCCCUGGACAAAGACUGACGCUCAGGUGCGAAAGCGUGGGGAGCAAACAGGAUUAGAUACCCUGGUAGUCCACGCCGUAAACGAUGUCGACUUGGAGGUUGUUCCCUUGAGGAGUGGCUUCCGGAGCUAACGCGUUAAGUCGACCGCCUGGGGAGUACGGCCGCAAGGUUAAAACUCAAAUGAAUUGACGGGGGCCCGCACAAGCGGUGGAGCAUGUGGUUUAAUUCGAUGCAACGCGAAGAACCUUACCUACUCUUGACAUCCAGCGAACUUAGCAGAGAUGCUUUGGUGCCUUCGGGAACGCUGGGACAGGUGCUGCAUGGCUGUCGUCAGCUCGUGUUGUGAGAUGUUGGGUUAAGUCCCGCAACGAGCGCAACCCUCGUUCUAUGUUGCCAGCACGUGAUGGUGGGAACUCAUAGGAGACUGCCGGGGUCAACUCGGAGGAAGGUGGGGAUGACGUCAAAUCAUCAUGCCCUUUAUGUCUUGGGCUUCACGCAUGCUACAAUGGCUGGUACAGAGAGAGGCGAACCCGUGAGGGUGAGCGAAUCCCUUAAAGCCAGUCUCAGUUCGGAUCGUAGUCUGCAAUUCGACUACGUGAAGUCGGAGUCGCUAGUAAUCGCAGAUCAGCAACGCUGCGGUGAAUACGUUCCCGGGCC
rnacentral:rRNA from 1 species